AUUGAACGCUGGCGGCAUGCCUUACACAUGCAAGUCGAACGGUAACGCGGGGCAACCUGGCGACGAGUGGCGAACGGGUGAGUAAUGCAUCGGAACGUGCCCAGUUGUGGGGGAUAACUGCUUGAAAGAGCAGCUAAUACCGCAUACGACCUGAGGGUGAAAGCGGGGGAUCGCAAGACCUCGCGCAAUUGGAGCGGCCGAUGUCGGAUUAGCUAGUUGGUGGGGUAAAGGCCCACCAAGGCGACGAUCCGUAGCUGGUCUGAGAGGACGACCAGCCACACUGGGACUGAGACACGGCCCAGACUCCUACGGGAGGCAGCAGUGAGGAAUAUUGCGCAAUGGACGAAAGUCUGACGCAGCCAUGCCGCGUGAAGGAUUGAAGGCCCUAUGGGUUGUAAACUUCUUUUGUACGGGGAUAAACGCUCCCUCGUGAGGGAGCCUGAAGGUACCGUAAGAAUAAGCACCGGCUAACUCCGUGCCAGCAGCCGCGGUAACAC
rnacentral:rRNA from 1 species